rnacentral:rRNA from 2 species
AGCUUGCUCGGUGGGAUCAGUGGCGAACGGGUGAGUAACACGUGAGCAACCUGCCCCUGACUCUGGGAUAAGCGCUGGAAACGGCGUCUAAUACUGGAUAUGUGACGUGAUCGCAUGGUCUGCGUUUGGAAAGAAUUUCGGUUGGGGAUGGGCUCGCGGCCUAUCAGCUUGUUGGUGAGGUAAUGGCUCACCAAGGCGUCGACGGGUAGCCGGCCUUGAGUGGUGACCGGCCACACUGGGACUGAGACACGGUCCAGACUCCUACGGGAGGCAGCAGUGGGGAAUAUUGCACAAUGGGCGCAAGCCUGAUGCAGCAACGCCGCGUGAGGGAUGACGGCCUUCGGGUUGUAAACCUCUUUAACAGGGAAGAAGCGAAAGUGACGGUACCUGCAGAAAAAGCGCCGGCUAACUACGUGCCAGCAGCCGCGGUAAUACGUAGGGCGCAAGCGUUAUCCGGAAUUAUUGGGCGUAAAGAGCUCGUAGGCGGUUUGUCGCGUCUGCUGUGAAAUCCCGAGGCUCAACCUCCGGCCUGCAG